UACAGAGGGGGCAAGCGUUGUUCGGAAUUACUGGGCGUAAAGGGCGCGUAGGCGGCCUUCUAAGUCGAACGUGAAAUCCCCGGGCUCAACCCGGGAACUGCGUCCGAUACUGGAAGGCUUGAAUCCGGGAGAGGGAUGCGGAAUUCCAGGUGUAGCGGUGAAAUGCGUAGAUAUCCGGAGGAACACCAGUGGCGAAGGCGACUUCCUGGCCUGUUCUUGACGCUGAGGCGCGAAAGCUAGGGGAGCAAACGGG
rnacentral:rRNA from 1 species